rnacentral:rRNA from 1 species
AUACGGAGGGUGCAAGCGUUAAUCGGAAUUACUGGGCGUAAAGCGCGCGUAGGCGGUUUGAUCAGUCGGAUGUGAAAGCCCUGGGCUCAACCAGGGAACUGCAUUCGAUACUGUCAGACUAGAAUAUGGUAGAGGGUAGUGGAAUUCCUGGUGUAGCGGUGAAAUGCGUAGAUAUCAGGAGGAACAUCAGUGGCGAAGGCGGCUACCUGGACCAAUAUUGACGCUGAGGUGCGAAAGCGUGGGUAGCAAACGGGAUUAGAAACCCUAGUAGUCC